rnacentral:rRNA from 1 species
UAACCUGCCUUAUAGUGGGGGAUAGCCUUUCGAAAGGAAGAUUAAUACCGCAUAAGAUUGUAGUAUCGCAUGAUAUAGCAAUUAAAGGAGCAAUCCGCUAUAAGAUGGACCCGCGUCGCAUUAGCUAGUUGGUGAGGUAAUGGCUCACCAAGGCGACGAUGCGUAGCCGACCUGAGAGGGUGAUCGGCCACAUUGGGACUGAGACACGGCCCAGACUCCUACGGGAGGGCAGCAUG